AUGCAGCCAAUUAAGCCGACUGUGCUCUUUCCCCAUGGGAGCCCAGUGUGCAAUGGCUGCAAACAGUAGCCUCCUUGGUAGUGUGUGCAGCCUGUUGAUUGUACAGGUUGCCCUAAGGGACCUUGGAGACAGCC
rnacentral:snoRNA from 1 species